CUAGCAAUUAUAAUUUUCCUCAAACUCCUAAUCUAAAUCCUCUUGAUUGUAAUAUGUUUAACUUAAACUCUACGAUAGUGUUGAUAAACAACAGGAACUCAAUUUGAUAUUGAUGAUAAUUCAUCACAUGUUAUUGACACGUUGCAACUUUAAUAAACUAAAUUUGAGUAAAAAUAAAUCAAAAAUUAUCUUACAAGUUACAUGAUGAAAAUUGAAACUAUUACAUGGAAAUGAAAUUCUGGUCAUUUUAUCAUAUUUGGAAAAACAAAUCUAAAUUCUGUCAAAAUUGUCAGAAAAAUUUUUCAAUUUUGUUUAUGACAGAAAAUUUUUUUCUUCAUCUUCACGAUAAUAUUUGAACUUUUUCUUUAUCAUUGUUUAUUAUAUUUACCAAGAGAAUAUUUUUAUUCAUCAAAAAUUAGAAUUUAUCUUUUGAUUUAUCAUUUAGAUUUAUUUAAAAUCUUCCAAGAAAAUGGUCAACCGAUGAACCUUAUUCGCGGGUCCAGAGAUAAACCAUUAAAACACCACGAAUAUUAUUACUUUUUCAUGUGGAUUCUAUUUUAUUCAACACUCGUGCAUUUGUCCAGAGCUUUCAAUCGGAAAAAUUUAAUUAUUUUCUACAAUUCGAUGCAAUCAAAUUAUGAAGAGAAAAUUGAAAAGGAAAAGGAAAAUUUCAAAAAAGGCGCUUUUCUCUCCUGGUGGAUGUUAAAGCAAAGAAAAAGGAUAAGAUUUUAACUCGAAUACUUUGUCUGAGAUUCUCAUUACAUCAAAAGUCUGCCACUGAAUAACUUGAAACUGUGAUCAAUCAAUUUAAUUUUAUCUUUGUUUGUACUAAUUUAUAUCUUUCAUGUCUUUUUUUCCGCCACUCCUUCCUCAUCUUUCUCCGAUUGAUUCACCAUUACAAGGUUUACCUUUCCACUCUCAUCAUCCCCACCAUGCUUGGUCUCCGACACCUUCACAAGCCCAAACUCAACAACAACAACAUCACCAUCACCAACAGCAUCAGCAACAGCAACAACAACAACCUCACCUUCAUCAACAAUCUCAACCACAAUCACAACAUCAUCACCACCACCAACAACAACAACAACAACAACAACAACAAGCUCAAUAUGCUCGCCAUUUAUUUGAUCUUUCUCGACCCUUUACAACUUACCCGUUCGGUUUUCCCCCUUCAACAACGGGAAUUAUUGAAAAUAGUGGACAUGGUCCAAGCUCUUUGAAUCCGGGAGCCUUUAUCAAUGGUCACCUUGCUCAUCCAUAUCCAUCAAUAUUUGUUAAUCAUCAUCAUCACCUUUGUCCUGAACCAUGUUGUGCCAUUUCACCUUAUUUGGCUGCGGCUGCGGCUGCGAGGUUACCACCAUCUUAUUCAGCCAAUUCACCUUCACCUUUUAAAAAUGGAACUAAAGUAAUCCAAUCAAAUAAUAAUAAUAAUAAUUCGAUAUCUCUUUCUAAUUCAUCUACAACCAAUAAUAAUAAUGUUGAUUAUAGUGAUACCAAUAAUAUAAAUCAACAGCGAAGUGUUAUCAAGCAACUUAUUGAUUAUAAAGUUCCAAAAAGUGAAAAUUUCAACAGUUUACUUGAAAAGCCUUUACAACAACAAUUAAAUACCUCAAAUCGUAUUAAUAACAAUGGUGGUAGUGUCUCAAUCAAAAAUGGAGCUGAAGAUGUUAGUGUAAUUAAACAGCUAAUAGAUUACAAUAUAUCACCUAAACAUAAUAUUAAUAAUAAUAAUAGUUUUACUAGUUUACUGGAAAAACCUAAUCAACAUUCAACAUUAAAUAAUAAUUGUGGUUUUACAAUUAAAAGUGAAAAAGGUUCCGGUAAAAGUGGAGGUGAUGUUAGUGUGAUAAAGCAUAUAGAUAGCAAAGUAUUUCCAAAAAAUUUCAAUAGUUUACUAGAGAAACAUAAUAAUAAUAAUAAUAACCAUCAUCAUCAUCAUCAGCAGCAACAACAACAACAACAACAACAACAUCAGCCUAAGCAAAAUCAGCUUCAUCAACAGCAACAGCAACAGAAACAAUCUCAUCAUCGACAGCAUCAAAAUCAUCAUCAACACCAACCAAACACACCAAUUAAUGGUAGUCAAAGUAGUGAUAAUGGUUUCAAUAAAAGUGGAAACGGUGAUAUAAGUGUAAUCAAGCAGCUCAUUGAUUACAAAAUAUUUACUAAAAAUAGUAACUCAACUAGUAUACUUGAAAAGCCAGUACAACAACAGCAACAGCAACAACAACAACAACACCAACAAAACACUAAUAGUCGUAAAAUUAACGGAGGGCUAAAUGGAUCAAAUAAGAGUGGAAAUGAUAGUUUUUCCUCUAUUGAGAAAAAAACUAUCGAAGUGCAAUGUGAUGGACCAGAUUGGACACCGAUCGUUUUAUCAUCUAAACUGAAACAAUGUGUAUUUAAACAAAUGUCGAAAAAGAAUCAACCUUCGACAACUAAUAAUAUUACUUCUUGUAAUAAUAAUAAUUCUACUACUACUAAUAAUAAUACCAAAAAUAAUGGAUACAAUAGUGUAAAUAGUAAUAGUAAUUUAAAACAUAGUCUAAUUGAUCCAAUUGAUACUUCAAGGAAAAGGUUAAAAUCUGAGGCACGUGGAACAUCAACCGGUUCAACAAAUGAUUCUAAUCGACAUGUAACAAUAAUAUUACUCCCAUCACCAUCUCCACCACCUCAGGUAGUUACACCUCCACCUCCACCUCCACCAUUAACAUCAUCAGCACCGUUAUCAUCAUCAACGUCAUCGUCAUUAUCAUCAACAUCAACAUCAAUUUCUAUAUCAACAACAAUAACAUCAGCCUCAAUUUCAGCACCAACAGUAAUAUCAACUGCAUCUCCAACAGAAACAACAAUAUCAUUAACAAAUUCAACAACAGCAACAUCAACACCAACACCAACACCAACAACAUCAACGACCAAACCAUCAGAAGCAAAAUGUUCAAUUACAAAUUCAUUAAAAUCAUCAACAGCAAUGACAACGACAACGACAGCAACAACGACGAUGACAACGACGAUGAUAACAACACCAACACCAACAGUAAUUAAAACUUCAACUAUAUCAUCAAGCAAGAAAAUCAUUGAUGUGGAAUCAGCCCCAACUAAAACAAAAACAUCGCUAUCAACACCAACGUCAGCAGUAUCAAAACCAUCACAAUCAAUAACUGUGACGAUACCACCACCCACACCAACAAAAGUUUCAAUAAAAACACCGGGAUCCAAGUCAACACAAGCAUCAUCAUCAUCAUCAACAACAACAACAACAACAAGUAGCACAAAUAGUCAACAACGUGUUCGCCGUCGACGUUUCCGUUCAGGAUUAGACAUGAUAAGAAGCUCAAAGAAUCGGAAAAAGGCGAAACAAGCCAAUUUAUCAAAACUCAAUUCUAAAUUGUCUGAAAAAACGAUCUCACCAAAAGGAAAACUAAAAAGCAUCAAAAAUGAUCUUAACGAUGUGAUUAAUAAGCAAACGAUUAAUAAUUUUGAUGAUGCAUCUUCAACAUCAUCUUCCAUUACCACAAACACUUCAACACGAAACAAUUGCAGUGGCAAUGGUGGUGCCGGUGGUGUGGGAGGUAAUUUAUCACCUUUAUCAGUUCCCAUUGAGAUUAAACGUUUAAUGGUUAACAAAGCGCUUGGUGAGACGGUAUUACACAGAGCAGCCCGACAAGGUUAUACUCAUAUUGUACGACAUUGCCUAACAACGGGCACUUAUGAUAUAAACGCUCGUGACAAUGCCGGUUAUACACCUUUACAUGAGUGUUGUUCACGAGGUCAUCUUGAGAUUGCUCGUGCCUUAUUGGAAAAUGGUGCUGAUGUCGAUUCAUCGGCAACCGGUGGUGUAAGACCUUUUCAUGAUGCCGUUGAAAGUGAUCACAUUGAAACGGUACGAUUGUUAUUAUCUUAUGGUUCCGAUCCAACAAUUGCCACUUAUACAGGUACAACACCUUUAAAACUUGCCCGAUCAUCAAAAAUGAUCACCUUCCUCCGUGGUGUAAUUUAUGACCUUACAGGUGAAAUACCGUUACACCCUGAUACCAAUAAAUGUGAUCGACUUGUUCCACCCUGGAAAUUUGAAGGUUCAUCUAGUUUUCUCGAUGAAAAAGUUUUCAGUGGUUAUAAUGUGUUCAAUGAAGAUUCAAUUCCAUGUGAUGAAGAGUCUGAUGAAUUUGAUGAUAUUAUGAUAGAAAUAAGCGAUUUACCUCAUCUUGCUACUUAUCGAAUCAAAUCGGGAGCAGCUGUAUCAAUAAGUAAACCAGCAUCAUCAUCAUCAUCAUCAUCAAAACCAUCGGAAAAAUCAAGUAAGACCAACAAGAAAACCACCUCGACAUCAACAACAAGCAACACUGUUGAUACCAAGAAAAACAUGUAUACCCAGAAUUAUCUGAAACUUUGUGAUAUCCUCAAACAAUUGGAUCUCUCAAAGAAUCAAUUCUUAACCAAAUAUAAGAAUAUUGAAAUUUUGUGCCUAUCAACAAUCAACUUGGAAUCAAAUGUUCUCACCUCUUUUAAAAAUUCAUCUCAACAAUCAACAUCAUCAGUUGAGGAAUCAUCACAAUUAAGCGAGCUAAUUUGCUUGGAUGAUCCUAUCCGCGAAAUCCUUGGUAUUGAAACCCUUAGGGUACCAUGAGAAUGAAUGAAUUUCUUUUUUCAUCUCCAUCUCCAUCACCAUCAUCAUCAUCAUCAUCAACAUCCUUUUAACAUACAUGAUGAUGAUGAUGACCACGAAUCAUCACCUAAGUGAUCAACCUUUGAUGCUUUAUAAUGAUCACCUUUUGAUUACCUUUGCUGGUCUUAUAUUGACUGCAAAAAAAAACGACGGCCUAAUUUUCAAGUUUACUGAAUCUGUGGUUAUGUAAAUUGUAUUUUUCUCAUCUCAUCUUCCCCACACAUGAACCAACCUCAUCUUCUCAUCAUCACAUUUCUCCCUUUUAUCAUCAUCUUGAUGAUCAGUUUUCUUGCUCUUUGUCCAAACAUAUUUUUAAAGUCAAACCAUCAACAUAAAAAAACCAUUGACAUUGUGGGUUUUUUUUUCAUUCAUCUUGUGAAAAAUACUAUGAGACCAGAACUUAAUCUGUAAUAUAUUUAUACAAAUAUAUAUAUAAAUAUAUAGAUAUGUAAUAUUAUUAUUAUUAUUUGACAACAAAUGCCAAUCUUACCAGACACUAAAUUAUAACAGUAAAGAUAAACAUCUAAUCAGCUGAUGUUUACCAAAAAAAAAACUUCCAAUAGGCUCAAACUUUUAUUUCGCCAUCACAAUUAACUAAUUUUUGCCUUUUCUCUCCCUCAGCAUUUGCAGUUUUCGGUUGCAAAUCUUUGACACUUUAUCAAUAAUCUUACAAUUGCUCUCUAACUGUCACCUCCUUUGUCUCUAUCAUCACCACCAUCAACCUCUUCCAUUAAAAGUGCCAAAGUGUUUUUAAUCAUCUAAUUAUUGACAAAUUUAAUCCUUAAUUGUGAAUAUACUACCAUCUCAAUUGGAUUCAAUAUCUUAUUGUAAGAGUGAGUGUGUAUGUAUAUGUGUGUGUGCUCAGCUUCAGGUCUUAA